UACGUAGGGGGCAAGCGUUGUCCGGAAUUAUUGGGCGUAAAGCGCGCGCAGGCGGUCAUUUAAGUCUGGUGUUUAAGGGCAAGGCUCAACCUUGGUUCGCACUGGAAACUGGGUGACUUGAGUGCAGAAGAGGAGAGUGGAAUUCCACGUGUAGCGGUGAAAUGCGUAGAUAUGUGGAGGAACACCAGUGGCGAAGGCGACUCUCUGGGCUGUAACUGACGCUGAGGCGCGAAAGCGUGGGGAGCGAACAGG
rnacentral:rRNA from 1 species